GCAGCUUUUAAUAAGACAUAUGAAAAAGCCCAUCCGUGCACAACAAUGUUGUGGUACUUGUUUAACACACACGAUUCACUCAGUAGUAAUGUGCAGUAUGCUAAUGAGCGGUAGACAUUUGUAUUUUCCAAACCAUAGGCUAGCAAUAAUUGCGGUAAUUAUAGUCUCAUCUAUUACAAGACACCGAAUAAGGCAAAGUGCAGUGCAACUUACAGAAAAAUAAAGACCUUUGAAUACAUUAACAGUCUAAACCUCUGUAGUUCAGACACGGGCAUAUAAGAGUCCUUUGUAGGCGAUGUAAACUCAAACGGAGCAACCGCAGCACAAAUCGCAUUUCUAGCAAAUAUUUCUGAUAUUGAUACUGAUAUCCAAGAUAGUCCCUACGCCAGACAGAAGCAGUCUAAGAGCUAGUUGGGUCUUAUUUAGCAAAAUCGACACACCAAUUCACAACACUGAGCCAGGCAGUCGAGGUCGCACUAAUGAACUAGCCACCAUAUCUCUGUUUCCUUUGGGGAGGGAGAAAAAGCACUCCUCCAAAGGGGAAACUGAGGCUAAGAGAACGACUGCGCAAGUGAACGAGCCCACUGACGGAGCUGGGAUUCGAACUACGGAAACAGAGACGCCAGGCAAGCUCCGCUCGGGAUCUGCGGACCCGCCUCCGCGCCUGCCCACGGGAACUCCAAGCGGCGCCGGCAACUGGCGCUCGAGCUACGAGGAGCCGGGCGGUUGCACUCGGCUCAGGCGCGCACUCGCGCCCGUCAGGCGAGCUCAUGGGAGUGGCGCCAGCAUAGAAGCUCGCGCGGCCGCCACCUCAACGCAGGCGCGGUGGCCAAGUGGUAAGGCGUCGGUCUCGUAAACCGAAGAUCACGGGUUCGAACCCCGUCCGUGCCUGCCCUCUUUCCGUGUGGAUUUAAGAAUUUUUUAGGUGACGGUGGGUGGUGUAGCCACUGCACCCCGUCGGUCAUGGGAGCUUCCACUUCAGGGAGAAGUUUGUGGAAUGCACGGGUUGGACAGAGGUCGCAAUCUGGAAGGAUCACCUGCACAUUUGCGGUAAGAGCUUCGCAGCUAAAUGGAACCUGGCUGGCUUCAGGGCACUUCACGUUUUUCUGAUUGUUAAAAUCCAAGGUUACCCGCCGUAAAGAAAGAACCGCUGUUGCCCCACACCGACUCCACACCCGGAGUCAGCUGGAGUCCUUCUAGUUUGCGAUUUUUAAAAGGAAAUCCGUAGAAGUGGGCAUCGCCUUCGAGAAGAGAGGAAACCCUGCCCGGACCUGGAACGAUUCUGGUUUGAAAAUGUAAGCCUCUGGCGCGGAGCCUCCUUUCGCCCCUAGCUAAAAUGGGUCACGUGGUCCAGAGGCAGCGUUGGCGAGAAUGCAGCCAGAUACUGGCUGCAGAGGUGGCCUCUCCAUAUGGAGAGGCAUGACAUGCCUGUCACAUUACAUCACAGAAGUUUGGUUUGCAUUCUCAAAAGAAUGCACCAGAUGGUGCUCAAAGUGCCUUUGCAGAGGUCACUGUCUGACUCCAACUCCAAGACCAGCGUCUUGUGGAAUAUGACAAACACCUCGCUCUCGUUUGUGGAAACCUGUCUGAGACUGAAGCAAACCCCGGUGGAGUAACACUCCUGAGAGAACUCGACUCUGCGGGGGUCGGGGUGGGGGACCAAUCAAACCAAAGCAGACUCUCCUAACUGGAAGGGAGGAGGGAAGAAAAGAGUUGUGGGCUGGGAUGAUUGGUCAGAUUCCUGGCUGGACAGCAGUGAGUCUCAGGAGUGUGACUUUGGAGGGGUUACAGCACAGCUACUGCACCCCCAUCCUCUGGGACAAGGCCUUGUCAUUUGGGUUUCUAACAAGCUUCAGGAAUAAGGUGUUUCAAGUUCCCAGGCCACAUUCUGAAAAUCGCUGCCCUGCUGAAAGUCAUAGCACAAAGUCAUAUUGCCAACCCGGGAAGAGAAUAUGCUAUACAAACAUGGAAGGUAGUCCUUCUUGCAAAGUAAUGACUGGAGGUGCUGGGAACCUGCCUCAGCCAGAAAGUUCUUGCUGGGCAAGUAUGAAGACCUGAGUUCAGACUCCCAGCACCUACAUUUUCAAGGGAGGGGUUACAGGAGAGGGGGGGCAUGAUAGUGCAGGUCUGCAAUCCUAAAGAUAGACUGAGAGAAGGGAGACAAGAGGAUCCUUCAUCUACCAGUCUAGCUGAAUUAAGGAGCUUGUCUCAAACAAUAGGCUGUAAGACUGGUAGUGUUGGCCCCAGCAUUCAGGAGGCAGAGACAAGUAGAUCCCUGAGUUCAAGGCCAGCCUAGUCUACAAAUCGAGUUCCAGGACAGCCAGAACUACACAGAAACCCUGUCUCAAAAAUAAGUAAGUAAAUAAAUAAAUAAAUAACGUUAUUAAGGAGACAGGCACCCAUGGGGAAGCUGUCGGAAGGGCUGUUUCCAUUCGUAUCCUGCACACUGUUUGUAUUUUCUAUAAGAUGAUGGUGUUGACAUGUGAAGUUUAUUUUCACGGAAUCAUACCCACAAAAGGAAGAAGCAGGGUGAGAGAGGAAAGAGAGAAAGGCUGCAAAGAUGGCUUCUUAGAACACAGGCAGAUGACAGCAGCAGGGUGUAGAUUGUCUGAGCAUGGAGUUCUCCAGCAGUGUGUGCACUCCUUUUGUUGUAUUUGAUGCUGUUCUGCUAUUCAUUUCUUUCUGAAGAGCUACAAAAGAGCAAGUCUCCCAUCUUAAAAAAAAAAAUGUUUCCACGGCAGGUGUGGUGGUAUUUGCCUGUAAAACCAGCACUUUGGGGAGGCUGAGGCAGGAGGAUGGGAGUUCAGAGUAAGCCUGGGCUACAUGUAAGACCCUAUUUUUAAAAAACAAUACCAUCACAACAAAAACAAACCAGGCCUUCACAAAGCCCCCAAGGUUUCAUCACCAACACAUACGCACACACAUGCACAUACACACACAAACACACACACAGAGCGAGAGGAGGAGGAGAAUAUAAGAGUACAGAUUCACUUAUGAGGUGUUUUCUGUUUUUAAAACCCUCUUGUGUCUGUGUCUGUACAUAUGUGUGUGCGCACAAGGGUGAGUGUCAGGUGGCCACCUCUCCUGCUUUCCACUUUAUCUGAGGCAUGUCUCUCAGUGAACCCGGAGCUCCCUGGCUGUGCUCCACUCUCUUGCCAGCAGUCUUUUGGGACUCACCUGUCCCCCCCACACCGAUGCAAGGGUUACCGCCAUGCAGUGCAUCUCCUCGUACAGAAUUUCCCCUGAUGCUGGGGAUCUGACCUCAGGCCCCUGUCAGCGCAAGCCCUUUACCAACUGAGCCAUCUCCCAGAGCUGCUUGUUUGCUUGUUUGCUUGCUUGCUUGUUUGCUUGUUUGUUUGUUUGUUUGUUUGUUUGUUUAGAAGCUUUAAGAUUACACAGGAAUCAGGUUGAGACUAGUGUGUGGGAGGAGAGUAUCAUGGAACUGUGAAACCAGUGUGCUAUGUGCUAUCGGAUUGGAAACUAGCGACCCAAAGCCUGAAUUCAGUUUGUUUACACUUUGGUGAGUAAAGCUGGCCAUGCCGGUGAUAACCCA